rnacentral:lncRNA from 1 species
AUAGAGGUGUAAUACCACCAAAUCAUGGUACGUCACAUCCUGUUGCAUACGAAAGUAGGUCUUAAAAAAUAUUCCCUUGAAUUUGACCGUUGUAGGUAAUUAAUCCUACAUUUUAUUGCAGUAAAACUAUUUCUGUGUCAUAAACAUAUGUCUUGGGUAUUUCAAAACACCAUUAUUUUUUAUUUGUGAUUUCUAUAGAAAAUUUUGUAAUCUUGAGGUUACAUGGUUACUAAACCUUGUACACAGAUAGAAUAAGAGGAGAAAUUUGAUUGGUUAACUUCCAAUGAUUUUUAUUUUCUUAUAUGCAAUGAAAUGUUAUGUGAAACUUUUUCUAUAGAACUGGACAGGAUAAAACUUUACUCAUGCCAAGUAUUUCUUUAUUUGAAACAAAGAUAAAUUCUGCACAAUUUUUUGAAAAGUGCAAAUUUAACAAAGACUAAUAGGGGAAAAUCAAUGAUGGUAUUACACCUAGAGGUGGAAUCUCUUAAAAUACAUUUAUUUUUUAGUACAAAAUCUUAGUGAAAUUGUUGCCACAACAUUUUGUAAUUCAAGAACAAAGCAACAAAAAGUUUAUUUAUACAGCAUCAGAGUUAUUUUCAGAGCUAGAUAUAAAGAUAUGUAUAUAUAUUAACAUUAUUGUGACAUAGGAAAUGUACUAGAAAAUGCAAGAAUGGUGAAAUUCAUCUAUUAUCCAUUACUUAUCAUCCCCUGUUUGACACAUUGCAAGGGACAUAGAAAUACCCUGCAUCCAUCCAGUCUUGUAAGUGCUCUCCUGUGUGUACUAUUCUUGCAAGAUAUUUAUAGAAUUUAUAUUGAAGGUCAGCAAUGUCUAGAACAAGUUUGAAAAAUCAGUGCAGAUCAAUUUUUAUGCCCCCAGCAUAGCGGAGGGGGUAUUGCGAUUUACCCUUGUCCGUCUGUACGUCCGUCCCAAAAUUGGUUUCCCUUCUCUAACUUUAGUUUGCCUCAACCAAAUGUUAUGAAAUUUAUACACAAUGCUUAUUACCACAAAAACACAGAUCAAGUUUGAAUUUUGGUGGCGUCACUUUUACUGUUCUAAAGUUAUGCCCUUCUACAAAUGGAAAAAUUGUUGACUUUUUGGUAUCCCUUCUCUUACUUUAGUUUGCCUCAACCAAAUGUUAUGAAUCUUAUGUUGUGUUUUGUGUACUAUUGUUUGUCUGUUUGUCUUUAUCUUUUGUAGCCAUGGCGUUGUCAGUUUAUUUUUGAUCUAGGAGUUUGAAUGUCCCUCUGGUAUCUUUCGCCCCUCUUAUAUGCACAAUGCCAAUUACCACAAAACACAGAUCAUGUUUCAAUUUUUGGGGCGUCACUUUUACCGUUCUUGUAUAAAAAUUACCAUCAUGUAACAUCUAUCAGCCCAGCCCUGACAUAUAAAAGUAUAUUUACAGUAAACAUCUUAUUUAUUUGUAAACCUGUUUUCUCUUAACCAUACAUACAGAUUUUAUUACUAUUUGCCUUUUUAGUUCACCUGGCACGAGGUCCACUGUGAGCUUUUGACAUCACUUAUUGUCAACUGUCGUCUUCUGUUAAAUUAUACAUAGAUCAUCUCCUCUGCAACUACUAAACCAAAUUUAACCAAACAUGGCAAAAAUUAUCAACGGGAUAUCUAUUUUAAAAAGUGUGUCAUCUCAACCUGCCUGCCGACAAACAUGGUUCACAUGGCUAAAAAUAUAAGAGCAAUUUUUGUCUAUUAACUUGAAAGCGCUAUAGAUAAAGAAAAUUGGGCAGGAACAAAUAUUUCAGAAUGAUGAGAUCUACAUAAUAUCAUUUGACAUCAAAACUGUCAGAUCACUUCUUAUACGAGUUAUUGCCCUUAAUUGAGUUUAGUAAAAAGUUAUGUUUGCCUAUUAUUUCGAAUUAUGAUAGAUAGACAGAAACUUUAAAUAGCAAAAAUGAUCAACAAGACAAGAAAAUUAAUAAAUAAGUCAACAUUAUUGAAAUCCCAGUCAACCCCUUAUUGAAGUUGUUGCCCUUUAAUGACGAUGUUUCCCUUUUUUUCCAGGAUUACCAAUUUCUUGAAAACUAUGAUAAAUAAAACUUUAAAAUGCAAAAAUUAUUGGCAAGACAAGAUCAACAAAUAAGUCAAUAUUUUGCAGUUUUGUCUAUUUCCUUGAAAACUAUAUAGAUAGAUAAAAAAUUGUAAUAGAAAAAUGAUCACCAGGACAACAUCUACAGAUAAGCCAUAAUGGCUGAAAUCUUUAGUUGAUUUGAUUAAAUUUUUUGAGUUAUUUACCAUUUAAUGAUAAUUAUUACUAUUUUUUUUCUUUUUUGCCUUUUAUCUUGAAAACUAUAAUAGAUAUAUAGAAACUUUAAAAACAAAAAAAUAUUCAGCUGAAUAGAAUCUACAAAUGUGUUAAAAUGACUUAAAUUGCAAGUUAACUAAUAAAGUUAUUCUCCUUUUAUGAUGAUUUUUACUUAAAAGUGGCCAUUCUGAAAGAUGCAGGUGAGCAACACAGGCUCUUUAAGAGUUUUGUUUAUUGACAAAAGCAUUAAAAGACAGGUGUUAAAUUUUAACUGAAUGUAUUCGACUUUGUUCUUAUAUCUAUAUUGUUAUUCUUAUUUGUGCAUAUGCAAAAAUGAUGGCAGUUAUUUAUACACAUUAAUAGAUAACUUGUAAAAGAAAUAUGUGAUAUUUAAACAAAAAAUAAUCUACUUGAUUGUGUUUUACUUUGAAUAUAAGUUUGCUUUCUAUUAUUAUGGACAAUAAAAUCAAUUCUUACUUUGUUUCUGUUUAAGAUGAUGAAUUGUGCAGGAACAUAUAUAUAAAUAGUAACAAUAUAAUGCAUUGAACUUUCUUGACCAGAUUUUAUUUUUACCUGAGCCACAACAAAACUUCAGACUCGCCUAUAAAAUGCUAUAUUUUUGAGUAACUACACAUUCAAAUAAUUUAUUUAAUAAAUAGUGUUUUUUUAUUUUAAUCAGUAUAUUACGGGUGAAAUAUUCUAUAUAUUUACUAAAUUUUUAAAGAGAGUUUUCAAUUGCAAAAAUUGUACUUGCUAAA